AUGGGCGCAAGCCUGAUCCAGCCAUACCGCGUGGGUGAAGAAGGCCUUCGGGUUGUAAAGCCCUUUUGUUGGGAAAGAAAAGCAGCCGGUUAAUACCCGGUUGUUCUGACGGUACCCAAAGAAUAAGCACCGGCUAACUUCGUGCCAGCAGCCGCGGUAAUACGAAGGGUGCAAGCGUUACUCGGAAUUACUGGGCGUAAAGCGUGCGUAGGUGGUUGUUUAAGUCUGUCGUGAAAGCCCUGGGCUCAACCUGGGAAUGGCGAUGGAAACUGGGCGACUAGAGUGUGGCAGAGGGUAGUGGAAUUCCUGGUGUAGCAGUGAAAUGCGUAGAGAUCAGGAGGAACAUCCGUGGCGAAGGCGACUGCCUGGGCCAACACUGACACUGAGGCACGAAAGCGUGGGGAGCAAACAGGAUUAGAUACCCUGGUAGUCCACGCCCUAAACGAUGCGAACUGGAUGUUGGGUGCAAUUUGGCACGCAGUAUCGAAGCUAACGCGUUAAGUUCGCCGCCUGGGGAGUACGG
rnacentral:rRNA from 1 species